rnacentral:tRNA from 2 species
GCUAUUUUGGCAGAUUAGUGCAAUAAAUUUAGAAUUUAUUUAUGUAAAAUUAUUACAAAUAGUA